UACCAGCACCCCGAGUGGUCGGGACGAUUAUUGGGCCUAAAGCAUCCGUAGCCGGUUUUACAAGUCCUCCGUUAAAUCCAGCUGCUUAACAGAUGGCUGCGGAGGAUACUAUAAGACUAGGAGGCAGGAGAGGCAAGCGGUACUCAGUGGGUAGGGGUAAAAUCCGUUGAUCCAUUGAAGACCACCAGUGGCGAAGGCGGCUUGCCAGAAUGCGCUCGACGGUGAGGGAUGAAAGCUGGGGAGCAACGGGG
rnacentral:rRNA from 1 species